UUUGAAGUGUGGACGCCAGUCUGCAUGGAGCCGGCCUUGAAAUACCACCCUUUAAUGUUUGAUGUUCUAACGUGGACCCGUGAUCCGGGUUGCGGACAGUGUCUGGUGGGUAGUUUGACUGGGGCGGUCUCCUCCUAAAGAGUAACGGAGGAGCACGAAGGUUGGCUAAUCCUGGUCGGACAUCAGGAGGUUAGUGCAAUGGCAUAAGCCAGCUUGACUGCGAGCGUGACGGCGCGAGCAGGUGCGAAAGCAGGUCAUAGUGAUCCGGUGGUUCUGAAUGGAAGGGCCAUCGCUCAACGGAUAAAAGGUACUCCGGGGAUAACAGGCUGAUACCGCCCAAGAGUUCAUAUCGACGGCGGUGUUUGGCACCUCGAUGUCGGCUCAUCACAUCCUGGGGCUGAAGUAGGUCCCAAGGGUAUGGCUGUUCGCCAUUUAAAGUGGUACGCGAGCUGGGUUUAGAACGUCGUGAGACAGUUC
rnacentral:rRNA from 1 species